rnacentral:lncRNA from 1 species
AGUCUCUCUCCGUUCCUUCUUCUCCUUCCCUUUCCUGACACAUCCCAGCGUCCAGCCAGCAAACCCUUGAGUCCAGGCUCGGGGCUCACCGGGUGCGGGAGGGAGUGGGAGUGAGACCCGCUGCCUCCUGGGGUGCUCCUCUAGGGGCGUAGGGGGACUGGGUGGGAGAGGAUCACUUUCAGUGGAAGGAGGAGACCAGUGAUUGCAUCCCAACUCUCCCAAGUGCUCCCUGCCUAGACCACCUCUCUCCGGGUCUGGGAUGCAAGAAGGUCUGGAGCUGGCCGUUACUAACUUUCUGUUGUCAAGACCCAGGGGUACGUGCGAAGGAUAGAGAAGAGCCCCCGAUUAACCGCUGUGUGGCCAGGAAGAGGGACUGGGAGUGGGGGUGGGUGCCCAGAGCUUGCACAGAUCCCCAUGUCAAGCGGACACCCGCCUGGCUCUUCAGUAAAAGAGUGAAGAAAGGCCGAGCACAGCGCGAAGGAAACCUGAGGUCUCCGGCAAGGCAGGAGAGGAGACCAAGUGACUCCCCGAAACCCACCCUCCAGCCCUUCGAGAGGCCCAGAGUCCAGCCGGAGCAAGCGUAACGCUACAGUCCCUGGCGCGCAUCCCUGCAGACCCCAGCUCGCCCCGGGGUCCCGCCGCCGCCGCCGCCACCGCCUGCGACUGCGAGGGUCCUGGCCCGAGGGUGCACCAGCACCUCCUUCCACUACCGGCCCUUUAUCUGACAAAAGAGCCGGAGCCCAUGACUCUCCGACUGUGAGCAGUGUGGCCUUUCCAAGCCUCCAGAACUUUCUCAUUACAACUUUUCCGGGGUCGCACUACUCCCUGGGCCGCGCGGGCUCGGGCACGAGGACCUGGCCAGGGCGCAGCGCCGGCACGAAGGCGCGCGCCGCAGAACUGUUUCCUCAGCCGCGUGCCGGGGAACUAACUGUUUCCUCAGCCGCGUCCAGCCUCGCAGCACUGCUCUUCUGCUUGCUACUCCAGCGAAGGGACAUGCCUGCUGGCCAGGACGCUUAGUGGGCCUCGUAACCUGGCGAGUGUGUGCCCGCGCGUGUCCACCCUGCCCCCGGCCGGUGCGCCCCGCGCGCCCAAACCCGGCCGGCGACCACUGCGCGCCGGGCGCUUCCAAACUGCUCCUGUCCAGAGGCAUCCCUCUUUCGGCUUUCUCCAUCCCGCGUCCGCUUCCGCACCCGAGAGCGACAAGCAAAAAAGAUUCAGUGCAACUCAAGGACUGGCCAUUUGCAGCCCCACCUGCGAGAGCGAAUUCGGGGAACUGCGCCUGGGCAACCUCUUUCCCUUUCUGCUGGGUGCCCUCCCCUCCCCCAUCUCCCCGUCUGGCUGGAGUUGGCCGGACUCGGGGAGCCUCGGUGCCCGCAGACUCGCUUACCUCGCAUGGUGUGGCCGCUCUCCCGCUCCGCGUAGUCAUGAAGCUGCUCCCAGCCCGAACCCCGGAGAGCCCAAAAAUCCCGCUCAGCACGAGUGAAGAAGGUGGUCGGCGAAGAGCUGCUCUGCCGAGAAAACCAUCCCUUUAGGCGGACGCCGUGGCUGCAGGGUGACGUUUGCCGCCGCCGCCGCUAUGUUAACAGUUUUGAUGUUGGUGGUGACUGUUUUGAUGAUUGUUUGUUUGUUUGUUUGUUUUCAGGAAGGGUGAAAAAAAAAUGUUCUGGCUGUCUGGUGCCUGGGUUUUGUUUUGGUUUUGUUUUUCUUUUUCUUUCUCUCCAAUGUGCUUGCUUUUUAAAAAAUGCCACCGCCUCCGGCUCAGAAGAUUUCUUUUGUGAUCACUUGGACUGAGGAGGAGGAGGAAGGGCAGCAGCAGGAGGAGGAGUUGGUGGUGGUUUUGUUAGUUACAAAGAAGAGGGAGAAGGAACAAGGGGGAAAAAAGGAAACAGAAAGAAAAGAAAGAAAGGCGGUGUGGAUGGCAGAGCAUGUGCGUUUUCACAUGACAUCUGUGCCUGUUAGCGGAUCCACAAUGUGAAUUUUCACUGUUCAGUUACAGGGAGGAAGGGAGCAGCGAGAGAGAAAGAGAGGGGAGAGAUGGAGAGAGAGCGCUGAGAGGGGCUUAUACGCGAGGGCGGGCUUGGCCGCGACUUCCAGGCCCCGCCUGCUGUCAGCGCAGCCGCCAAUCAGAGCCCAGCAGCGCCUGGAGAGGCUGGGACCGCGGGGAGGGGACGUGGUGGAGGCGGGGGGUGGGGCGGGGGCUGGGGACCAGGGAGUCCGAGGUGGCCGGGGCUGCGACGGGGAAUUCGAGACUGUCCGAACUGGGCAGAGAAGAAGGGCCGACCGGGAGAGUCGGGCAGAUCCGCAGGUGACAGGCACUUCCGACUCCAGCAGAGAAGGGGACACUGAUCACGGAAAACCUUCGGAGGCAAGAGACGCGGGGCUCCCCGGGUUUCACGUUCGGUCCCUGUCUCGCAACCCCCGCGGGCCCGGCAGAGUUAGUUUUGAAUUUAUGGCAGCGCUUUGCCGAGCGCUAUUUGGGUAAACUUCGGUCUCCGGCGGGGGUUUCCGUGGGCAGGUGGUUUGGGUGUUGGUGGUAGAAUAAUGCAAACCCACUUUCAUCACUUUUAGCACAACUAAAAUGCAGUCCCAUGGAAGUAGCUGUCCCCUUCCUUUAAAAACGUCCGUCAGAUGCUCCCUGACCCUCUUCUAAAAAAAAAAAAAAAAGAAAGAAAGAAAGAAAAAAACGUGUAUAUGUUCUUUUGUCUGGGAAAUUGAUUUUUAUUAGCAUUUGGAGACUCCCCUGGCGAUGGACUACAGGACUGAAGGAGAACAGCUCAAAUUGGCGGUGUAGCCACCUUACUAAUUCAAGAGAAAUGGCUGUUGCUAGAAGGUGUGAUUGCAGGGUGCUCUUUAGAAAGGUUUUAGAAGGAAGACAUUGUUAACUUUAGUUAGAGGCGAUUGGUAACUGAACAUAGAUAAACUUACUUGUAUUCCUUAGGUGAAAAUUGUCAUCUAUGACCAUUUAUUUGUAUUUUGAUAAAAAUCUAAUACAUAUAUCCAAACUGUUCCUUUGCAAGUUUUUCCAACUCAGUUGACAAAAUAAGCAUAUAGAUGAUUACAUCUACUUCCUUCCCAAUAGUAGGGAACUUCUUAAAUACUUGAGUUAAUUGAACACCCUAAAAGAUUGGGAGGUGAAAAUAUUUGCCUCAUUCACUCAGUCUUGAGGCUGGGAGAUGUCUACUCAUUAGCAUACCUGUUGGCACAGCAGGCCUCAUCAUCAUUUAAGUAUCCAAAUAAUUUGAUUUUUGACUGGUAUUUAUUCAUGAUAUGUCAUGUAACACAAAGUACAAUGUAGAAUUGGCAGUUAUUUAGUUAAUUAGGUCGCUCUACACUGCCAAGUAGUUUUUUCCUUCCUGAUUAAAUGAAAAAUGAAUUAUCUGCUGAAUUUUCACCAGUAUUAAAUUGACGUAGCCCUGCUAUAUGCCAUCCCAUUUGCAAACCAAUGUGUAAUUUAGGAAAAUUUUAGUAUUAAGAGUGAAAGUUGAUUGAGUCAUUAAUUAAAUGAAAUGAACAAAAGGAAGUUACUGUUUAGAAUAGUUAUUCCUUUAUAAAUAUCUUUCUCCUAGAUUUGUAAUUGACACAGUAGUUAAUCUUUUAAGAUAAUAUUUAAGGCUCCCUGGUUUUAUCAUUUUUAAUCAAGUAAAAUAUAUUCAUCAUAACUAUGUUAAAGCUGUACAAAGUUAUGCCUAAUUUAGUUGCUUCAUUAAAAAUUACUGAAUAUAAAAUAGUCAAGAAACAAAUUGUGACUAUAUCAUUUUAAUUUUGUUGCUUCAAGCAGAGACACAAGAAUAUUGAAAAUUCCAAAGGCUUUGUAAACAUUGUCUAAUUAUUAUUGUUGUUGUUAUCAUUUUAGAUUUCUAUUUCUCUUUAGAGUGAACAGGAAUUUCAAAAUCCAAAAAUUUAAACAUUUAUGUAAUUUUAACUUUCUAAACAUUUAUUGAAUUCUGAAUUUUUUUUUAAUGCUGCAAUAUCUGUAAUCCUUGAAAAAGGUAGUCAACACGUGUAUAAAAAGUAUUUACCCCCCCAUACAUUUUUAUAUUCUCUUUAUUUUGUGGUUUCAGCAAGGCAUAAUUUUGCUUAGAACAUAUUUCUUAAUUCCUUCUGAGUAUUUUUGGAGAAAUUAUUAAUUAGAAGACUAUAUUAUUUCAUUUUUCAAAACUAUGUAUAUAAUCUCUAUAUAUGGUGAUACAAAAGUAUGUAUUUUCUCUUUAAAUGCUAAUCAUUGGUUAUAAUGUGGCGGCCUGGGACAUUUUGGAUCUUUCUAAAAAUUUAAAAACUGGUUUGUUGAAUAUUUCUAAUAAUUUUCACAUUUAUUUCACUGAAUGGAGCCCAUUUAUUUAAAAUAAAUAUUAAGAAUUUGAAUGAAAGAAGUCAGUAUUUUCUAAGAACUCACAAAGCACAUAUAUAUAAUCUGAUGGUUUUGUAACCUAUCUGCCAGCAAAUAAUCAUAUUUCAAGUGGCAUAAUAAUAAUACAUUACUGUAAUGUCCUAGCUCAUAUGAAGUACGGUAUCAGUAAUUUUAUUUGAAUGAUUAUGUCUGGUUUCCUAUAAGCUUGAAACUCUGCUUUUCACUCUGGGCCUGAAGGAUUUUCUAAGUUGACAGUUGCAUGUUGAUUAAUUUAAAUGACAAUCAGUCACAUAGCACUGUCCUCAAUCUCAAGAAUUGACAUCAGAUUCCACUUAGGCUUGCCUGCUUACCUGUUUUUCUGACACAUUAGCACCCCUCAGGUUGAGCUGUACCACAGAAUAGGAAUGACAACAAAUAUCCUGAAAGAGGCAAAGUUUUAAUAUAAGCCAACCAGGUAGGGUGACCAUGGCAUUUAGGAUUAUUUCAAUCCUAAAAGGCUUAAACAGGAAGUCAUAGUUCAUGUUAUUCUGAGCUGAUAAGUCAGAAUAUUCACUGGUCAGGGAAUAUUUUAAAUAAUUAAGACUCUUGAAUGGACAUUAGCAAUACUGAUAACAAUGUUACUUUUAGGAAUGACUGAAAGAUUGGUUAUGUUUAACUCUAUUUAGGGAGCUGUGUGGCUGUGAAAAUUGGGAAAGAGAUAUAAAGCUGCUAUUAAAUAUUAGAAAAGCCAGAAAAAUGUAAGAACUUUUAACAUUCAAACCUUUUACAAGUGGGAAGGGAAGUACUGAGUUCCCUGUUGCUGAAGGCAUCCAAAAAAGGGUUGAAUGAAAGGUUCUGUUAGAGAUGCUCUAGUAUACAGAUUUCUAUACUAGGGUAGAAAUUGUCUAGAUUACCUCCAAGAUCCUCUGUAGCUCUAAGUGUACAGUUGGCCUUUAUGUCCAUGGGUUCCACAACUGUGGAUUCAACCAAGAGCAGAGCAAAAAUAAAUUGUGUCUGUACUGAACAUGUACAGAUAUUUUUCUUGUCAUUGUUCCCUAAACAAUACAGUAUAAUAAUUAUUUAUAUAGUGUUGACAUUGGCAUUAUAAGUAAUCUAGAGAUGAUGCAAAGUAUAUAGGAAGAUGUGCAUAGGUUACAUGCAAAUACUACACACCAUUUUAUAGCAGAAACUUGAAUAUCUGUGGGUUUUGGUAUCGGUGGGAGGUCCUGGAACCAAUCCCCCGUGCAUACCAAGGGAUGCCUGCAUUCACAUGGACUAAAGGUUGCUACCACUGCCCCAGCAGGCAUCAGAGCCACAUUUCCUACCUGAGAAUGCAAAAUUCAUGACAACAGGAGCCAGGAUUUCCCUAGAGUUUGUAAGAGCUCCUGGUACUUUAUGGGUGCUUGAUCAUUAUUGGUGGAGUGAAUGCUUUCUAACCUUUCAGCCACUGAAUAUGAAUCACAAAUGGAGUGAAGACCUGAAUAAGAUCCUUCUUUCUCAGUUUCUAUUGAAUGGGAAGAGGAGAGUGGGGAGAAUCUGCAUUUUAAACUCUCCUAAUUUGGGGAAGCAAAAAAUAAUGGUUGAGAUUGGUUAUAUAGUCAUAAAAGGAAGCUAAAAUUUAGUUAUUUUCAUAUUUAUUACUAUUCUUAAUUAAUUUAUUUAUUCUUUGAAAGGAAGUCUCGCUGGAGGCUGGAGUGCAGUGGCACAGUCUCAGCUCACUGCAGCCUCUACCUCUUGGGUUCAAGUGAUUCUCCUGCCUCAGCCUCCUGAGUAGCUGGGAUUACAGGUGACCACCACCAUGCUUGGCUAAUUUUUGUAUUUUAGUAGAGACGGGGUUUCACCAUGUUGGCCACACUGUUCUCAAACUCCUGACCUCAAGUGAUCUGCCUGCCUCAGCCUCCGAAAGUGCUGAGAUGACAGACGUGAGCCACCACACCCAGCCCUAUUCUCAAUUUUAUUCCCAGGUACUGAGUCUUCUUCAUAAUCUUUGAGUUCUUUAAGUUCUGCUUCAUUUUAAAGUGUAGAUGCAAGUUCAAUAAGUUUUCAAAAUAAAAAAAAGAAAGCAAAUAUUAAAAUAGAGCAUGUAAUUUUGAAAUAAAUUGGAAAAGGUGAUAAGGGCCAAAGCAUGAAUUAACCCCAGUAUGUGGGAGAGGUAAGGCUAGCUUUGGAACAAAGACAAAACAUACAGGUCAGAAAAAACAAGAGCCAACAUUUAUUGGAUGAAUCACAUGAUUUCUCAACCUAUCUAAUUUCUAUUUCUUACAAGAGUCUACAUGUUAUACAUUAUAUCUCUUCCUCCUCCCCAUCUUUUAAAAAAUUAUUUUAUGGCUAAAAGAACAGAGGCUUAAAAAAGUUAACUCACCUAAGAUCACAAAUCGUAAAAUGCUGGAUCCAAGAUUCAAACCCAGGUGUAGCCACUAAAACGUGUUUCGUGAGUGCAGGAACUUUCUUCAUUUUAUUUUAUUUUUUCAGUGCUCAAUCCACAGAAUCUAGAGUCUCUUGCCUGAUAAAUAGUAGAUGUUUAAAAUACACUUGUGAAUAAAUAAAUGGACAUUUAAACCCUCGUCCACCACACAGUAUUACAUAUGUACAUUCUCAUCACUAAAUGACAUUAAAUAAAGAAGAGUGAAUUUUGACUUUAAAAAUAAAAGGACAUUGUGAAAAAUUUAUGAA